GAUGAACGCUGGCGGCGUGCCUAAUACAUGCAAGUCGAGCGAACGGACGAGAAGCUUGCUUCUCUGAUGUUAGCGGCGGACGGGUGAGUAACACGUGGAUAACCUACCUAUAAGACUGGGAUAACUUCGGGAAACCGGAGCUAAUACCGGAUAAUAUUUUGAACCGCAUGGUUCAAAAGUGAAAGACGGUCUUGCUGUCACUUAUAGAUGGAUCCGCGCUGCAUUAGCUAGUUGGUAAGGUAAAGGCUUACCAAGGCAACGAUGGAUAGCCGACCUGAGAGGGUGAUCGGCCACACUGGAACUGAGACACGGUCCAGACUCCUACGGGAGGCAGCAGUAGGGAAUCUUCCGCAAUGGGCGAAAGCCUGACGGAGCAACGCCGCGUGAGUGAUGAAGGUCUUCGGAUCGUAAAACUCUGUUAUUAGGGAAGAACAUAUGUGUAAGUAACUGUGCACAUCUUGACGGUACCUAAUCAGAAAGCCACGGCUAACUACGUG
rnacentral:rRNA from 1 species